rnacentral:rRNA from 1 species
AAUUUUGGACAAUGGGGGAAACCCUGAUCCAGCCAUCCCGCGUGUAUGAUGAAGGNCUNNGGGUUNUNAAGUACUUUUGGCAGNNNNNAAAAGGUAUCUCCUAAUACGAGAUAAUGCUGACGGUAUCUGCAGAAUAAGCACCGGCUAACUGCGUGCCAGCAGCCGCGGUAAUACGAAGGGUGCAAGAGUUAAUCGGAAUUACUGGGCGUAAAGGAUGCGUAGUUGGAUACUUAAGUGGGAUGUGAAAUCCCAGGGCUCAACCUUGGAACUGCAUUUUUAACUGCCGAGCUAGAGUAUGUCAGAGGGGGGUAGAGUUCCACGUGUAGCAGUGAAAUGCGUAGAUAUGUGGAGGAAUACCGAUGGCGAAGGCAGCCCCCUGGGAUAAUACUGACGCUCAGACACGAAAGCGUGGGGAGCAAACAGG